UUUACAAAACAAAAUUUUUGAGCCUAAUUAGUCUAUAAUUAGACACUAAUUAUCAAAUAAAUGAAAAUGCUAACACUCCUAACCAAACACCCUAGUGACACGUCCGAGUACUUGUUUGUACAUUCCUGGAAGGCACCGUGUGUUGUCGCCUUGUCGGUCUGCGGUGAUAAAUUGUGGGCUCUAUAAAUUCUGGCCCAGGGCCUCAGACUGUUUGGGCCGUGGACGUGUGGACUACACUACAGGACAGGAACAGCCAGAUUAGCCUAUUUUCUGUUUUCACCCCUCCAAUCUCUGCAGUCCGAAACCCCGAAUCUGUCCACACUCCACAGUCUACAUGUUUCAGAGUUCAGACGGCGGCGGUCAUCACCAUUCACCGCCGCGCGGCGACCGGCGAGUGAGGAUGGCGCCGGCGCCUGACCGGUUCUGGCCAUGGACGGGCCUCACUGCGCAAAUGCCCUUACCAAAUCCGCAAGAGCGGCGCUCCAUCGGCGCAGAGCGGCGGUCCAUCUCCACACCGCCGUGGCACCCGCGCCGUCUGUUUCGUACGAAGUUGUUGGAUGCUUUGCAUGGAUAAGUUAAACAUGCAGUUAUGAUGGCCUUGCCUUCAGUGGUGGAACUUGACUGGAAGUUUAGAGGGACCACCACUUAAUAUAGUGAGGUUACAUGAGAAAGAGGGGAUCAGUUCCAUGCUUAAGCUUCAAUUUAGCCUUGAGGCCUAAUGCUUCCCCCACGGAUUAGCAAAAGUGACGGGAGCCAUGGUCCACCCUGGCCAUCACUAAGCUCCAUUCAUACUUGCCUUUAAUCAACAUAUGACACAUACACAUGAAGGUCGAUCAAGUUCAGUUAGUAUUUCAUAUUUUAGUUUGAAUCACUGAAGAAUGUGGAAGGAUUGCCUUUUCUGGCAUGGUACAGAUGGCCCUCACCCCCUAGGCGCCUAUUUCUGGCAGUGGCAAGAACACAGAAGAACAAAGCCUCAACGGUGCAUGCUGAUAUGAUUUCUGGUCCAUGCCAUCUGAUAUUCUGAUCCGAGACAUCUAGCUGCACCAAGCGAGCUGGGUCAGGUACUCUCAUCAAGUGCGUGACAUUGGGAUUUCAGAGACAGGCUAGGACGGUUGUACAGGCAGCACAAUCAAAGCUUGAUAUAUCAUCAGCCUAAUCUUGUUCUGUCAGAUCAGUUUUGACAAAAUCUAACGACCUAAUAUACCUUUUAAAUUGGACAUUUUAACAAAAUAAAUAUACCAUUGAUUUGUGAAGUUUACACACGGCAUUUUGUUGCAAUUAUUUAUGACAGUAGCAUGCCAGGCUCAGUGUCUAGUGCCAGCGGUUGUGGGUUCUGGUUUCAAUCAGCAGUAUGUGAUAGCUUGUCUCUGUUUCUUGGCCAGUAGGUUUAGUUGCCUGUUAGUGCAUUGUGGCUACUUAGAACUCUUUGAGAUAUAUGCAUGACUCUCGGAGAGUUUUCGGUUGUUCUUCAAAUGACAUAAAAGGGACAUACUGCAGGACACGUCAAUAAUGUCUUAGUAAUGGAAUACUGUCAUACAUUCUCUGAGAUACUGACGUCAGAUGUCCGAGUUACAGCUUUGGAUUCACAGUUGAACAUGUAUCUAACUAGCAAUGCAUUUCUACUUAUGUUGAUGACUUGCUACUAGCUAGGCCACAUCUAUGCCAAUAGUUUGCACUUUGCACCAUGGUUUCAAGUAUUCGUAUUUUUCAUUGCAAAUUGUUGCUUAAAUGCUUUAACACUUGUUCAAUUUUGCAUGGAAGCAUUAAACAUUUGAAAGGAAAAGGAAUGAUUUGCACUAAAUGAAUGCAGGAGUGUGGGGUUGGGGUGGGGGAGUGGGAAGGGA